UACGUAGGCAGCAAGCGUUGUUCGGAGUUACUGGGCGUAAAGGGUGUGUAGGCGGUUCUUUUAAGUUUGGUGUGAAAUCUCCCGCUCAACCGGGAGGGUGCGCCGAAUACUGAAUGACUUGGAGUGCGGGAGAGGUGAGUGGAAUUCCUGGUGUAGCGGUGAAAUGCGUAGAUAUCAGGAGGAACACCGGUGGUGUAGACGGCUCACUGGACCGUAACUGACGCUGAGACACGAAAGCGUGGGUAGCAAACAGG
rnacentral:rRNA from 1 species